GCUGGUUGCGCGCGUCAAGUUCGCCUGUUCAGCGACCAGUCUCUUUUGGAUGUCGUCUGUAUUUUGGGCUCUCGGCGUAUUACGUUCCUUCUACCGUUCAACACGGCACUGCUGCAAUAUUGGGCAACGGCAAGGACGUUGCGGUGGCUCAUAGUUCGAACAAAGCCACGGAUGGAGAACCGGGCCAAGUUGCGUUUCCCUGCAGACGAGGUGGCACGUAUGAAAAAAAUACGCUGAAUGGGGAGUCCUGGCUGGUCUGACAUGGGAGCAGACGUACAACUGCUACGGCCUCUGCUCGGACCACUUCAGAGAAAGGGACUACCCUGUUUCUGAAGGAAAGCCCUGUCUGUUCUGGUCGCCUACGCAGAUUGUUCGAGUGGAUGAGAACUGCUCAUGGGUGAAGUGGGCGUGUGCCGAUCCUCGGAAAAUCCUGCAGAGUGGUCCUGUGCCAUUGUGACACCAGAGAUCUGUCAGAAAAAGGCGAUGCUGGCCUUUCGUUCAUCACCGGGUCAAGCCUGGGAGGUACCACGGUGCCCUACUGCACGUGUCAGGCCAGCAAGCUAUUCUAUGAGCCUGGUGUCCUGAUGUCCUGGUGUCCUGGUGUCCUGAGUCCGUUCGCCCUGCGGACUUGGUGGGCAGCCCUUCUUGUUUCUUCGGCUGCUGAUCAGAAAAUCUCGCAUGCGUUACGGAAUCGGAGGUGGAGAACGUGUCCGUGGUUCUCGUGGACUGCCACAAGGGCUGCGGCUCCAUUCUGGGCUACAGCACGGCGGCGGGCAUCACAAGCACCGUGGCCCGGUGGCUGGCGCUGCUGGUCGAGACGCUGGCGGUCGCAUGCGCGGUGAAGCCGGAGCACGUCCAUUGCGUAGGCGCCCAGGCGGGAAAUAUCUUCAGCGAAGGACGUCCUCGUCGGGCGCAUUUCUGACAUUUGCAGAACAGCUUGCUUGCCGGAAGUGGCGAGGAUGUCCCCACCACGGACUUCGAACGACAGCCCCUCGGCCAGGAACGACUUGCUGCGUGGUCCGCCGCACAGCCAAUGACCCAGGCUGGAGUAGUCCUUCUGGAACGUCAGGUCUCGAACUUGCGUCAAAACGGCCACAUUUAUUGUCACGACGACGUGGCGAUUGCCACAAUUGCCCACAAUUCUGGCAAAGACG